rnacentral:lncRNA from 1 species
AUGCGGCACAACCCUAGAUAUUCAGACCCAGCUUCUUUCCGUCCUUUUCCACGUGAAAUGCGGCUGCUGUGUAAACUAGGCACGCCAAAAACCCAGCUCCGAUCCUCACGGGCCGGCCGUGGUCCGUCGGGGCCGGCCGGGACGGGGCGGGAGGGAAAGGAAAGUCCGCGGUGCCCAUCACCGCAGCGCCGGGCCCCAGCCCGGGCUCCCCUUCCUGCACCGCAAACCUCGCUCCGCGCCCGGAAUUUACCCAGCUUUAUUAUUAUUACUCGAGCUGUGAUUGCCGUUUUUAUUAGUUUCCAGUCACCAAAAAGCUGCCGGGGACUGGGCUAUCCGGGACGAAACCCUGGGCUAUCCCGGGGCGGUCUGCUUCUACCGUUUGCAGUGUGGCUUGCCCGCCGAAUAGGGAAAUUUUUAUCUAUUAUUAUUUUAACUUUUGUUCCCCCGAUUGGAAGAUCGAAACCUUUGAAACGAAAGGAGAGCGAACCUUUCCUUCCCGCGGCAGCACGGCCGCUCCCGGGGGCUCUCAGCAAACGGGGAAUCCCGCUCGGUGCUGGUUGUUUUUCCCCCGGGUCACUUUCUAUCACCGUAUCGGGAGGAUUUAUCUUCUCCUCCGUCUCCCGGAGGAGGAGGCAUCACCGCAAAACUGCGACCCCGAGACCCCGGAGCGUGUGCGGCCGGCCCCGGAGGACUCUCCCCGCUUCAAGGCCUCUCCCUGCCGCCGUGCACGCUCCCUGCGCGUCCCCGCUGGCAGGGCACGGGGUCACCAGGGACGUGUGGCAGCAGCGGAGCAGGGGCAGCAGGGGUGAGACGGGGGGCACGGACCCCAGCCUGCAGAGGGACCCCCCCUCCGCCCGCGGUGCAGCCCUUCAGGUGCUCGGCAAGCAAGGUUUUGCGGGCGGGAGGCAGCAGCCAGCUGCUGACCACCGGGGCCAAAUGCUGAGACCCCUGCGGCGGGGAGAGCGGAGCCCCCCCCGGGCAGCAGCGGGGGGGCAGCCCCGGAGCGCUUCCCGAGGCUGCCUCAGGUGGGCGCAGCCGUCGGGGGGAUCCGUGAGAGGUUGGCUUCAGCAGCGGGGCGGGUGGCUGGGGAACUCAAGCGCUGGCUGA